AGUGAACGCUGGCGGUAGGCCUAACACAUGCAAGUCGAACGGCAGCACAUUAAGAGCUUGCUCUUACGGGUGGCGAGUGGCGGACGGGUGAGGAAUACAUCGGAAUCUACUUUUUCUUGGGGGAUAACGUAGGGAAACUUACGCUAAUACCUCAUACGACCUACGGGUGAAAGCAGGGGAUCUUCGCACCUUGCUCGAUUUAAUGAGCCGAUGUCGGAUUAGCUAGUUGGCGGGGUAAAGGCCCACCAAGGCGGAGAUCCGUAGCUGGUCUGAGAGGCUGAUCAGCCACAUUGGAACUGAGAAGCGGUCCAGACUCCUACGGUAGGCAGCAGUGGGGAAUAUUGGCCGAUGGGCGCACGACUGACCCCGGCCUACCGAGUGGGUGAAGAAGCACUUGGGGUCGUCAAGACCUUUUGUUGGGCACGAAAAGCAGCAGGUGAAUAUCAGGCUGUUCUGACGGUACCGAAAGAAUAAGCACCGGCUAACUUCGUG
rnacentral:rRNA from 1 species